AUUGAACGCUGGCGGCAGGCCUAACACAUGCAAGUCGAGCGAGCGGCGGACGGGUGAGUAAUGUAUGGGGACUGCCCGAUAGAGGGGGAUAACUACUGGAACCGGUAUCUACUACCGCAUACUAUCGGAUAACCCAUAUGGGAGUAGCUAGUAGGUGAGGUAAUGGCUCACCUAGGCGACGAUCCCUAGCUGGUCUGAGAGGAUGAUCAGCAACACUGGGACAGUGACACGGCCCAGACUCCUACGGAGGCAGCAGUGGGGAAUAUUGCACAAUGGGCGCAAGCCUGAUGCAGCCAUGCCGCGUGUAUGAAUAAGGCCCUAGGGUUGUAAAUUACUUUCAGUCGGGAGGCGUUACCGACAGAAGAAGCACCGGCUAACUCCGUGCCAGCAGCCGCGGUAAUAC
rnacentral:rRNA from 1 species